rnacentral:rRNA from 1 species
CCGCGGCAACCCCAGAGCCAAUACACGCAAAAAGCUCCGACCGUAUGGGAAGAGCGCUUUUAUUAGACCAAAACCAAUGGGGUCGCAAGAUCCCUUCGUAUGGUGACUCUGGAUAACUUUGUGCUGAUCGCAUGGCCUAGAGCCGGCGACGUAUCUUUCAAGCGUCUGCCCUAUCAACUUUCGAUGGUAAGCGAUUUGCCUACCAUGGUUGUAACGGGUAACGGGGAAUCAGGGUUCGAUUCCGGAGAGGGAGCAUGAGAAACGGCUACCACAUCUACGGAAGGCAGCAGGCGCGCAAAUUACCCACUCCUAGAACGGGGAGGUAGUGACGAAAAAUAACAAUACCGGACUCAAUGAGGCUCGGUAAUUGAAAUGAGUACAGUUUAAAACCCUUAACGAGGAUCUAUUGGAGGG